GCGCGAGAGUAGCAAUACUUUUGGCGGCGACCGGCGCACUGGUGAGUAACACGUAUGCGACCUGCCCCGUGCUGGGGGAUAACCCCGGGAAACUGGGCCUAAUACCCCAUGAGCCACGAGAUCGCAUGGUUUUGUGGUAAAAGGUUUUUCCGGCGCGGGAUGGGCAUGCGGCGCAUUAGCUAGUUGGUGAGGUAACGGCUCACCAAGGCGACGAUGCGUAGGGGUUCUGAGAGGAAGGUCCCCCACACUGGUACUGAGACACGGACCAGACUCCUACGGGAGGCAGCAGUGAGGAAUAUUGGUCAAUGGACGGUAGUCUGAACCAGCCAAGUCGCGUGCGGGAUGAAGGCCCUUUGGGUCGUAAACCGCUUUGGUCGGGGAGCAACGUGCGGGACGUGUCCCGCAGUGAGCGUACCCGAAGAACAAGCAUCGGCUAACUCCGUGCCAGCAGCCGCGGUAAUACGGAGGAUGCGAGCGUUAUCCGGAUUCAUUGGGUUUAAAGGGUGCGCAGGCGGCACAUCAAGUCAGCGGUCAAACUGCGGCGCUCAACGCCGUAUCGCCGUUGAAACUGAUGAGCUUGAGUGCGUGCGAGGGAGGCGGAAUGCGCAGUGUAGCGGUGAAAUGCAUAGAUAUUGCGCAGAACUCCGAUUGCGAAGGCAGCUUCCCAGCGCGCCACUGACGCUCAUGCACGAAAGCGUGGGUAUCGAACAGGAUUAGAUACCCUGGUAGUCCACGCGGUAAACGAUGAUCACUGGCUGUGCGGUUUAAUUGCGAAUUGCGCGGCUGAGCGAAAGCGUUAAGUGAUCCACCUGGGGAGUACGCCGGCACGGUGAAACUCAAGGAAUUGACGGGGGCCCGCACAAGCGGA
rnacentral:rRNA from 1 species